GAGGGUAUAGUUCAGUGGUUGAGUGCAUGCCUAGCAUGCAUACAGUCCUGGGUUCAAUCCCUAGUACCUCCA
rnacentral:tRNA from 1 species